rnacentral:rRNA from 1 species
UAGGGAAUCUUCCACAAUGGGCGAAAGCCUGAUGGAGCAACGCCGCGUGUGUGAUGAAGGGUUCCGGCUCGUAAACACUGUUGUAAGAGAAGAAUGACAUUGAGAGUAACUGUUCAAUGUGUGACGGGAUCUUACCAGAAAGGAACGGCUAAAUACGUGCCA